UGCCAGCAAGUUCGACGCUAAGUGAGUGCUUUGGAUUUUUGAAUCAUACGAUGGAAUGCCGAUUUGCAAUCUCUUUCAAUAAAUUUGAUUUUGAAUUUUGGAUUUGUGGUUAGGUUGAAGGUAAAUGGUGCAGGCGGCGGCCAAAAAGCGUCGAAGAAGGCGGGGAAGGACCCCAACAAGCCAAAGAGGCCUGCAAGUGCUUUCUUCGUUUUCAUGUAACGGGAUUUUCUUAAAUCUUAAGAAUCAUUCUCAACAUAUAUGUAUUUGCCAUUUUUGUUAAUUAUUUUUAAUUUUUAUAAAAGGGAGGAAUUUAGGCAGGAGUAUAAGGAGAAGCAUCCUAACAAUAAAUCUGUAGCCGUUGUGAGUAAUUUAAUUUAAUUUUGCUUUUUUCAUUAAUGUUGAAAAUGACAGUUUUUGUUAUCGUUUUCUUUUCAAAUCGGCGUAAUGUGUUUGAAAUGAAUCAGGUCGGAAAGGCUGGUGGAGAUAAGUGGAAAUCUAUGUCAGAGGCUGAGAAAGCUCCAUAUGUUGCAAAAGCAGAGAAAGGGAAGAAUGAAUACAAUAAAAACAUGGAAGCUUACAAUAAAAGAAUGGGCAAUGGUGGAAAUGCUGAUGAAGAAUCUGACAAGUCUAAAUCUGAAGUGCAUGAUGAGGAGGAAGAAGAAGAUUAGUAAUGGGAGGAACUACUUGUGUAGAAUUUGCUUAUAGAGAUACAACUUUGUUUUGGCAUCACCUAACUUAAACAAGACAAGUAGUAAAAUGUCUUGACACGCUCACAAAGUACAUGGAGAUCAUAUGCGGAAAAGGAUACCUGCAAUUUCCUCACGUUCUCAUGCAACUUGCUUUCAGCCAUUUUUGCAGCACUUGUCUCCUGCAGCCAAAGACAAAAGAGUGAUGCUACUGUACCCUUAUGUAAUUGAAAGGUGAGGAAAGCUUUGUGAACAUAAGAAAUAAUCAUUAUCGACAUCGUGCAGUGCAUACAGUGGAAGCCCUUUUUUUCUGGCUUAGCUUGAAUCCUACCAAGUUUACUGAUAUUUCUUUUGUGGCAAAGAGUUUACCAUUGUUUCAGGUAAAGAUUCAUGUUCUGAAUUUUUAAGAAAUCAUAGUAUCUCGUGUGCAUGUGCAUGGAAGGGCAGUCUGGACACGAAACAUUAUGGUAUAUGUUGAUUAACGCAGAGCGAUUCUUCUGCCAAAGAAAUUAUCUAUUAUAGUAACAAAAAACAUAUCACAAAAAGUAAGCAUAAAUAAUACUUACGCUAGAUGAAGAAAACCCAUAUUUCUUCUUGAUUUGAUCAACGGCACCAGCCUUCUCAUCCUGUUCCUCUUCCUUGAUGUUUUUUUCAUUCUUAACCUUCAUAUGUUUUAUUUUCCCUAGAAGUUUGCUUGCCAAUUUCUGCUUAUUAAGAGCUGCCAAGAUAUUCUGAUCCUUGGGUCUCUCUUCAUGUUCAUCAAGGUCAAUAUCAUCUUUCAGACCAGAAAUCAAAAACAAAAUGAACAACCAUGUGACUGAUUAUUGCAAUAGUGCCUUGAAUAUGGAAGAAGCUAAAAUAAUGGGGAUAAUAGAUUGAGACUUAAGAGUGAACUAAGCUACUUUUGAAAAUUUUAAUCAUAAUUCCAACUAUGAACUCCUAAGUGCCAGCGUCAGCAUAACAAAUAUUCUGUUAAUUCACAUAGGGAUGGCAUGAAGCACCACAUCACAAUGAAAUCCAUGGGCAAAGAUAUUUGCAUAUAAUAUCCAUAAAGAACAUACACACCUAUGUCCAAGUCAUUCCCAUCUGUGUCUAUGACAAUGCUAUUGCUAUUUUCAGCAUUACAAGCAAAGUUAGCUGUUGAAAAGAUCAUUGAAAGUUCUUCAAUACUUUCUUUUGUAUCCUCUGUUUCCACCUCAGAAACUUGCUUUGGUUUACUUCCUUUGAUAUCCUUAAUCACAGAGCCAAAUAUACCCUUUUUCUUUUCCUUUUGUGCCAUAGCUCCAGAGGCAAACCCUUCUUGUAAUGGCAUUAGAUCUCUUCUAUAGACUUGGCUGAAACAGUCCAAAAACCUGAAGUGUUCAUUUUGAAGCAAAACUGAUACCAAAAACAUUUCUUGAUCACCAUUCACCAUAACAAGUUCUCCAUCAUGUGAACAACAUAUUGAACUAUCUGGCAAGGAGUUCAGCUUUGGUGAAGCAUAAGUGAAACCUCUCAUUGAGGAUUCCCUUAUUAAUGAUAAGUCUGGCAGAGACCUUAUUUCAAUUUUCCCAGUAGUGAAAAGGAGCAAAAGGCCAACAUCUGAUGCACCACAAAAUACUGAAGCCCAGCAACAUAAAGAGGAAUGGAACUUCUUUUUGUAGUAAACCUUCUUGACUCCCUGAACAGCAUGGUUUAAUGAAUAGACAUACACGGCUUUCUCAGAACAUAUAAGUAGAGAAGACUGCUUUGGUGAAUCCUCAACAGGAUUCCCUUUGCUCAGAUCUGAACCAUUUGACACAUUUGAUCCUCCAGCUAACACAUCCUGCUGGCCCAAAAUCUGCAUAAAUAAAGCCUUAGAUGGUUUCUUAGGAUGCACUGUGCUAGUGCUCAGCAUGUUUCCAGUAUUGACAUCAACAGCCAAAACCGAUGAAUCCUUUGUUGCUACCACUAAAGCAUUCUUCUCAAAACCAUGCAGAUUGCAGGUCUCAAACUGCAGAGAGAUGAUUCCAGUGGAAAUUUCACUUGCAAUAUGUUUUUGAUACAGCAGUGUUGGUCCUUCUACAUCAAUUAGUGAAACAUAUCCUUGAUCAGACCCGACUGCAAGAUGUCCUGAGUUGUGGCUUAUGUUCAUAGAAAGUACAGAACCAUUUACCUUCACAAGUUUGAGACUCUGGAUGAUAUGGUGGUUUCCUCUUUUGGAACUUCCUGGGAAAGACAUAAAACUGUUCUCUGUGGCAUAUGGCUCAGGUUUAAAUUUAAAAAUGCGAACCAUUCCACUCUGAUCCCCUGAAAUAAGAAUCCGAGAAUUGCCAUCAAAAUACAAGGCCGUUAGUGCUAUACCACUUAAAGAAAAAUCAUCUUCACUCUGUUGUUUUAACGAUACAAUGGGAAUAAAAAAUGGACAAGAUGCAUGCCAAAAAUUAAUGGCUCCAUCACUAUGUCCAGUUAUGUACAGGUUUUUAAUCUUUGCAAACCCACUGAAGGGGACAGGAUUUGCGGGAGUUCCAUCUUUUGUGUUUGCUUCAAAAGGAAAAAGAGAUGGAGUGUUUUUGGAAAAGAGAAUGUAAUCCUUAUCUCCAAAACUCAACAUACAAGGGUUCUGAGUGAUGAAUUUUGCUACAGUUAUGCUUGAGUCAGCAAAUGGCAUCUUCACCAUGACCUGCUUUGGUAACGAGGG
rnacentral:misc_RNA from 1 species